AGUGAACGCUGGCGGUAGGCCUAACACAUGCAAGUCGAACGGCAGCACAGUAAGAGCUUGCUCUUACGGGUGGCGAGUGGCGGACGGGUGAGGAAUACAUCGGAAUCUACUUUUUCGUGGGGGAUAACGUAGGGAAACUUACGCUAAUACCGCAUACGACCUACGGGUGAAAGCAGGGGAUCUUCGCACCUUGCGCGAUUGAAUGAGCCGAUGUCGGAUUAGCUAGUUGGCGGGGUAAAGGCCCACCAAGGCGACGAUCCGUAGCUGGUCUGAGAGGAUGAUCAGCCACACUGGAACUGAGACACGGUCCAGACUCCUACGGGAGGCAGCAGUGGGGAAUAUUGGACAAUGGGCGAAAGCCUGAUCCAGCCAUACCGCGUGGGUGAAGAAGGCCUUCGGGUUGUAAAGCCCUUUUGUUGGGAAAGAAAAGCAGCAGGUGAAUACCCCGCUGUUCUGACGGUACCCAAAGAAUAAGCACCGGCUAACUUCGUG
rnacentral:rRNA from 1 species